UACGAAGGGGGCUAGCGUUGCUCGGAAUCACUGGGCGUAAAGGGUGCGUAGGCGGGUCUUUAAGUCAAGGGUGAAAUCCUGGAGCUCAACUCCAGAACUGCCUUUGAUACUGAAGAUCUUGAGUUCGGGAGAGGUGAGUGGAACUGCGAGUGUAGAGGUGAAAUUCGUAGAUAUUCGCAAGAAUACCAGUGGCGAAGGCGGCUCACUGGCCCGAUACUGACGCUGAGGCACGAAAGCGUGGGGAGCAAACAGG
rnacentral:rRNA from 1 species